rnacentral:rRNA from 1 species
AUUGAACGCUGGCGGCAGGCCUAACACAUGCAAGUCGAACGAGUGGCGGACGGGUGAGUAAUGUCUGGGAAACUGCCUGAUGGAGGGGGAUAACUACUGGAAACGGUAGCUAAUACCGCAUACCAUCAGAUGUGCCCAGAUGGGAUUAGCGAGUUGGGGGGGUAAGGGCUCACCAAGGCGACGAUCCCUAGCGGGUCUGAGAGGCGAACCGGCCACACUGGAACGAGGACACGGUCCAGACUCCAACGGGAGGCAGCAGUGGGGAAUAUUGCAAAAGGGGCGCAAGCCUGAUGCAGCCAUGCCGCGUGUAUGAAGAAGGCCUUCGGGUUGUAAAGUACUUUCAGCGGGGAGGCGUUACCCGCAGAAGAAGCACCGGCUAACUCCGUGCCAGCAGCCGCGGUAAUUC